GGGGUUGUGGCUCAGUGGUAGAGUGCAUGCCUAGCAGGCAUGAAGCACAGGGUUCUGAUCCUCAGCACCA
rnacentral:tRNA from 1 species